UUAAAAGUCGACGGUACUUGGAAGCCUCAAAUGUAUCAAGCUGCGGUUGAUGCACUAAAAUCAUUUAAUAGCAACUUGAACAAAGAUAACGUGAAGAAUCGACUCAAAAUUUGGAAAACACAUUAUAAUGUUAUCUAUGACAUUAAAAAUAAAAGUGGUUUGACGUGGUGGGAUGAUGAGAAGAAAAUGGUGAUUAUACCCGCUAGUGAGCAAAAAGUAUGGAGCGACUAUGUUUCGGCUAAUCCAGAUGCAAAAGGCUACCAUAAUCGUUUGAUUGAAAAUUGAGAUGACAUUAUGGUAUUAUGUCCAAAAGAUAGAGCCAAUGGUGAAUAUGCAGAAACCAUUGAAGAGGCUGCUAACGCAAUGCAACAUAAGGAAUUUGAGGCACAAUCUGAAACAAAUGAAGGUGGAAGCUCUUCAAGGAAAUAUCUUCCUAGAGCAUCAACUAGUGGUGAGACAAGUUCAAAGAAACAAAUAAAGGGGAUAAAAUGGUUGAUUCAUUUGCAAUGAUGACAGUUUCUGUGAGUGAGUAUUUUAAUGAGAGAAAGAAGGAAGUAGUAAUAAAACCACCAACCGGAGAGGAGAUUCAUCAAGUGGUCUAAAAAAUACUCAACUUAAGUCGCAGUCAAGUGUUCAAUGCAUUUGAGAAGAUAAUGCAUAGCAACCUGGAAAAGUUUUAUUUGUUGAAGUCAUUUCCUGAUGAUGAAAAAAGAGAUUUUAUUCUCUUUAUUCUUAAGGAGUAGUUUCUAGUUGGAUAACAAGAACCCCCAAAUCUUUGAACCCAUUCUUAAGGUAAUUCAAUUUUAAUUUUGUGAAGAGAUCUACUUUUUCCUUCAUGCUUUGGUGCAGAGCUCCUAACGGGUGUUUCUUUGGAUAAAAGUCCUAAUCAAUCUCUGUAUGAUUCUUUUUAUGCUCUAUUUUUCUUUCAAAAUUAAUUCUUAUUGGAGCAUUCUACUAUUUAGAUUUGAUUGUUAGGUAAAUAUGAUUGGGUGAAUUGUGAUUUGAGAAAGAGGACUAGCUCAGGAUCAACCUCCAAAAUCUGAAGUAAGUCUGAUUGAGAGGAUGGUGAUCUAAGAUAUAUAGAGGAGUGGCUCAUAAUCAAUCUCUGCUCAUUUUCUUUGUAGGUUUUGGGCUCAUAUAGUGAUGGCAUAUUCCUUGUCGUGUUCUACUUAAAAAGAGUAUGAGAUAGUUGCAUUAAUGAGAUUGCAUUUUCUUGCUACAGGAAAACACCGUCCAGAUCAGUUUAUUGUAUGCUCUCAGAUUGAUACUUUCAAAAAGAAUUUACCUGCUUACUCUUUUGUUGUUGCAAAUAGGGUUUAUGA